GAAUUUCCUAAUGUGCAUCUUUUGGCAAUCCUAUUUUCCCAGUUCCCAUUGCCUCUGCUUUUGGAUGAGGAAACUGUCGUUUAAGGAGGACGUCCAAAACUGUGAUUAGUAAUAUGCUGAGGGGAAACUGAGGCAAUGUCGGGAAAGCUGCACCAAUCACACUGCGAAAGUCUGGAUCAAGCAAGACCAGAAGUCGAGGCAGAAAGGACGAGAUCAGCUGCUGGUUCAGCUGGACAGGUCCCUGGAAAUACCUCCACACCAAUAUCAGCUAAUGGUGGCAGCCCAGGGCGAUAGGCAACUCCACCUCUGGAAUCCGCCCCAGCUGCUCGCUCAAUGCCUGAGUGCAUUCAUUGGCCCCUGACUCUCGAGAGACACUUCUUAGGGGUGACAUCACACUGAGAGGACGCCGUGCUGUAAGUCUGCAGACCGGAGCAGACUAGAGCCUAGUGCUUUUCUUACCCCAUCCCAUGGAAAGGACAUACUGGAAUAUGUAAAACAGCACUCCACACCAUGUGGCUAAUAAAUGUCAUUUCUCUACAUUCUGACUGCUCACCUGACCUUAUAGGGAACUAGGGAGAAAAAUCACCAUUAAGUCUCAACCUGUGUGUACUUCAGACAUUGAGUGUCCCCAAAAGCCUUUGUCGAAGGCUUGGUUCCAAAGGAGCCACUGUUAGAGAUGGUGGAGCCUAGUGAAAGGUAUCUCGGGAUGGGGAGGAGCUCUACUGGAAAAGGGUUACAGGCUCCUGCUUCCUCUCCUCUCUUUGAUUCCCUGUUCAUGGUUUAGUACCAUUCCUCUACCACACUCUGGUCAUGACGUGUGGCCUUCUCAGGGCACAGCUUGUCAGGGGCCCAAAGCAAUGAGCUACUUAAUCACAGACCGGAAGCUACAGAACUAUGAGCCAAAAUAAACCUUUUUCUGAUCCAUUAACAGUCUCGGGUAUUUUGGAAGCUGGUUGAUACACCUGUUAACCAGAGCCACAGAGGGUCAGGUUUUCUCUUCUCCAUUCCCAAAGAGGGUAAGGCCCAACAUGGUAGCGUCCUUCACACUCAACACCGUGUUGUAACACUCACUAAUUAAGAGUGGAGGGAGUUUCUCAGUGGGACAGUUUGUCAUUAAACACAUCCCAGAGAAGUAAGGGUUUCAUUCCAGAUGUUUGAUACUGUGCAGGAUGCUGGGGAUUUAAUUAUAAUGAAAAACAAGUAUGGUGUCAGCUUCCUGGAGCUCAAAAUCUUCCCUCC
rnacentral:lncRNA from 1 species